rnacentral:rRNA from 1 species
UUUAUGGAGAGUUUGAUCCUGGCUCAGGAUGAACGCUGGCGGCGUGCCUAAUACAUGCAAGUCGAGCGAACGGACGAGAAGCUUGCUUCUCUGAUGUUAGCGGCGGACGGGUGAGUAACACGUGGAUAACCUACCUAUAAGACUGGGAUAACUUCGGGAAACCGGAGCUAAUACCGGAUAAUAUUUUGAACCGCAUGGUUCAAAAGUGAAAGACGGUCUUGCUGUCACUUAUAGAUGGAUCCGCGCUGCAUUAGCUAGUUGGUAAGGUAACGGCUUACCAAGGCAACGAUGCAUAGCCGACCUGAGAGGGUGAUCGGCCACACUGGAACUGAGACACGGUCCAGACUCCUACGGGAGGCAGCAGUAGGGAAUCUUCCGCAAUGGGCGAAAGCCUGACGGAGCAACGCCGCGUGAGUGAUGAAGGUCUUCGGAUCGUAAAACUCUGUUAUUAGGGAAGAACAUAUGUGUAAGUAACUGUGCACAUCUUGACGGUACCUAAUCAGAAAGCCACGGCUAACUACGUGCCAGCAGCCGCGGUAAUACGUAGGUGGCAAGCGUUAUCCGGAAUUAUUGGGCGUAAAGCGCGCGUAGGCGGUUUUUUAAGUCUGAUGUGAAAGCCCACGGCUCAACCGUGGAGGGUCAUUGGAAACUGGAAAACUUGAGUGCAGAAGAGGAAAGUGGAAUUCCAUGUGUAGCGGUGAAAUGCGCAGAGAUAUGGAGGAACACCAGUGGCGAAGGCGACUUUCUGGUCUGUAACUGACGCUGAUGUGCGAAAGCGUGGGGAUCAAACAGGAUUAGAUACCCUGGUAGUCCACGCCGUAAACGAUGAGUGCUAAGUGUUAGGGGUUUCCGCCCCUUAGUGCUGCAGCUAACGCAUUAAGCACUCCGCCUGGGGAGUACGACCGCAAGGUUGAAACUCAAAGGAAUUGACGGGGACCCGCACAAGCGGUGGAGCAUGUGGUUUAAUUCGAAGCAACGCGAAGAACCUUACCAAAUCUUGACAUCCUUUGACAACUCUAGAGAUAGAGCUUUCCCCGGGGGACAAAGUGACAGGUGGUGCAUGGUUGUCGUCAGCUCGUGUCGUGAGAUGUUGGGUUAAGUCCCGCAACGAGCGCAACCCUUAAGCUUAGUUGCCAUCAUUAAGUUGGGCACUCUAAGUUGACUGCCGGUGACAAACCGGAGGAAGGUGGGGAUGACGUCAAAUCAUCAUGCCCCUUAUGAUUUGGGCUACACACGUGCUACAAUGGACAAUACAAAGGGCAGCGAAACCGCGAGGUCAAGCAAAUCCCAUAAAGUUGUUCUCAGUUCGGAUUGUAGUCUGCAACUCGACUACAUGAAGCUGGAAUCGCUAGUAAUCGUAGAUCAGCAUGCUACGGUGAAUACGUUCCCGGGUCUUGUACACACCGCCCGUCACACCACGAGAGUUUGUAACACCCGAAGCCGGUGGAGUAACCUUUUAGGAGCUAGCCGUCGAAGGUGGGACAAAUGAUUGGGGUGAAGUCGUAACAAGGUAGCCGUAUCGGAAGGUGCGGCUGGAUCACCUCCUUU